CCUACGGGAGGCAGCAGUGGGGAAUAUUGCACAAUGGGGGAAACCCUGAUGCAGCGACGCCGCGUGAGUGAAGAAGUAUUUCUGUAUGUAAAGCUCUAUCAGCAGGGAAGAAAAUGACGGUACCUGAUUAAGAAGCCCCGGCUAACUACGUGCCAGCAGCCGUGGGAACACGUAGGGGGCAAGCGUUAUCCGGAUUUACUGGGUGUAAAGGGAGCGUAGACGGCAGCACAAGUCUGGAGUGAAAUGCCGGGGCUUAACCCCGGAACUGCUGUGGAAACUGUGAAGCUAGAGUGCAGGAGAGGUAAGUGGAAUUCCUAGUGUAGCGGUGAAAUGCGUAGAUAUUAGGAGGAACACCAGUGGCGAAGGCGGCUUACUGGACUGUAACUGACGUUGAGGCUCGAAAGCGUGGGGAGCAAACAGGAUUAGAUACCCCAGUAGUC
rnacentral:rRNA from 1 species